rnacentral:rRNA from 1 species
GUUGUAUAGUCAAGUAAUUAAGUGCAUGUGGUGGAUGCCUUGGCAGUCAGAGGCGAUGAAAGACGUGAUAGCCUGCGAAAAGCUCCGGGGAGGCGGCAAAUAUCCUUUGAUCCGGAGAUGUCUGAAUGGGGGAACCCACCUACUUUAAGGUAGGUAUUGCAACAUGAAUACAUAGUGUUGCAAGGCGAACGAGGGGAAGUGAAACAUCUCAGUACCCUUAGGAAAAGAAAUCAAUUGAGAUUCCCUCAGUAGCGGCGAGCGAACGGGGAUCAGCCCAUUAAGUUAUGUGUGUUUUAGUGGAACGCUCUGGGAAGUGCGAACGUAGAGGGUGAUAUUCCCGUACACGAAAGGGCACACAUAAUGAUGACGAGUAGGGCGAGGCACGUGAAACCUUGUCUGAAUAUGGGGGGACCAUCCUCCAAGGCUAAAUACUCCUGACUGACCGAUAGUGAACCAGUACCGUGAGGGAAAGGCGAAAAGAACCCCUGUGAGGGGAGUGAAAUAGAUCCUGAAACCGCAUGCAUACAAGCAGUGGGAGCACCUUCGUGGUGUGACUGCGUACCUUUUGUAUAAUGGGUCAGCGACUUAUAUUCAGUAGCAAGGUUAACCGUAUAGGGGAGCCGUAGAGAAAUCGAGUCUUAAUAGGGCGUUUAGUUGCUGGGUAUAGACCCGAAACCAGGCGAUCUAUCCAUGAGCAGGUUGAAGGUUGGGUAACACUAACUGGAGGACCGAACCCACUGUCGUUGAAAAGCCAGGGGAUGACUUGUGGAUAGGGGUGAAAGGCUAAUCAAGCCUGGUGAUAGCUGGUUCUCCCCGAAAGCUAUUUAGGUAGCGCCUCGGACGAAUACCAUAGGGGGUAGAGCACUGUUUCGGCUAGGGGGUCAUCCCGACUUACCAAACCGAUGCAAACUCCGAAUACCUAUGAGUACUAUCCGGGAGACAGACUGCGGGUGCUAACGUCCGUAGUCAAGAGGAAAACAAUCCAGACCGCCAGCUAAGGCCCCAAAAUCAUAGUUAAGUGGGAAACGAUGUGGGAAGGCAUAGACAGCUAGGAGGUUGGCUUAGAAGCAGCCACCCUUUAAAGAAAGCGUAAUAGCUCACUAGUCGAGUCGGCCUGCGCGGAAGAUGUAACGGGGCUAAAACUAUGUGCCGAAGCUGCGGNNAUGCUGGAGGUAUCAGAAGUGCGAAUGCUGACGUGAGUAACGACAAAACGGGUGAAAAACCCGUUCGCCGAAAGACCAAGGGUUCCAGUCCAACGUUAAUCGGGGCUGGGUGAGUCGACCCCUAAGGCGAGGCCGAAAGGCGUAGUCGAUGGGAAAAUGGUUAAUAUUCCAUUACUUCUGUGUAAUGCGAUGAGAGGACGGAGAAGGCUAAAUCAGCCUGGCGUUGGUUGUCCAGGUGAAAGGAUGUAGGCAUGUAUCUUAGGCAAAUCCGGGGUACUCUAUGCUGAGAUCUGAUAGCAAGCUGUACUUGUACAGCGAAGUGGUUGAUGCCAUGCUUCCAGGAAAAGUCUCUAAGCUUCAGUUACACAGGAAUCGUACCCGAAACCGACACAGGUGGUCAGGUCGAGUAGACCAAGGCGCUUGAGAGAACUCUGCUGAAGGAACUAGGCAAAAUGGUACCGUAACUUCGGGAGAAGGUACGCUGUUGUUGGUGAUGGAACUCGCUUCCUGAGCUGACGACAGCCGCAGAAACCAGGCCGCUGCAACUGUUUAUUAAAAACAUAGCACUCUGCAAACACGAAAGUGGACGUAUAGGGUGUGAUGCCUGCCCGGUGCUGGAAGGUUAAUUGAUGGGGUUAGCGUAAGCGAAGCUCUUGAUCGAAGCCCCAGUAAACGGCGGCCGUAACUAUAACGGUCCUAAGGUAGCGAAAUUCCUUGUCGGGUAAGUUCCGACCUGCACGAAUGGCAUAAUGAUGGCGGCGCUGUCUCCAGCAGAGGCUCAGUGAAAUCGAAAUCGCUGUGAAGAUGCAGUGUACCCGCGGCUAGACGGAAAGACCCCGUGAACCUUUACUGCAGCUUGACACUGAACUUUGACCUUACUUGUGUAGGAUAGGUGGGAGGCUUUGAAGCUGGAACGCUAGUUCCAGUGGAGCCGUCCUUGAAAUACCACCCUGGUAAUGUUGAGGUUCUAACUCUGUCCCGUGAUCCGGGACGAGGACCGUGUCUGGUGGGUAGUUUGACUGGGGCGGUCUCCUCCUAAAGAGUAACGGAGGAGUACGAAGGUGCGCUCAGCGUGGUCGGAAAUCACGCGUAGAGUAUAAAGGCAAAAGCGCGCUUAACUGCGAGACCCACAAGUCGAGCAGGUACGAAAGUAGGUCUUAGUGAUCCGGUGGUUCUGUAUGGAAGGGCCAUCGCUCAACGGAUAAAAGGUACUCUGGGGAUAACAGGCUGAUACCGCCCAAGAGUUCAUAUCGACGGCGGUGUUUGGCACCUCGAUGUCGGCUCAUCUCAUCCUGGGGCUGAAGCAGGUCCCAAGGGUAUGGCUGUUCGCCAUUUAAAGAGGUACGCGAGCUGGGUUUAGAACGUCGUGAGACAGUUCGGUCCCUAUCUACCGUGGGCGCUGGAAAUUUGAGAGGAUCUGCUCCUAGUACGAGAGGACCAGAGUGGACGAACCUCUGGUGUACCGGUUGUGACGCCAGUCGCAUCGCCGGGUAGCUAUGUUCGGAAGGGAUAACCGCUGAAAGCAUCUAAGCGGGAAGCCUACCUCAAGAUAAGAUUUCCCUAGGACUUUAUGUCCUCUAAAGAGCCGUUCGAGACUAGGACGUUGAUAGGUUGGAUGUGGAAGCAUAGUGAUAUGUGAAGCUGACCAAUACUAAUUGCUCGUGAGGCUUGACUAUACAACACCCAAGCAGUUG